UACGAAGGGGCUAGCGUUGCUCGGAAUCACUGGGCGUAAAGCGCACGUAGGCGGAUUGCUAAGUCAGGGGUGAAAUCCUGGAGCUCAACUCUGGAACUGCCUUUGAUACUGUCGAUCUGGAGUAUGGAAGAGGUGAGUGGAACUGCGAGUGUAGAGGUGAAAUUCGUAGAUAUUCGCAAGAACACCAGUGGCGAAGGCGGCUCACUGGCCCGAUACUGACGCUGAGGCACGGAAAGCGUGGGGAGCAAACAGG
rnacentral:rRNA from 1 species